rnacentral:rRNA from 1 species
UACGUAGGUGGCGAGCGUUGUCCGGAUUUACUGGGCGUAAAGCGCGCGCAGGCGGCAGUCUAAGUCCUCUGUGAAAUCACCCGGCUCAACUGGGUGGCUGCGGAGGAGACUGGGCAGCUUGAGGGGCCUAGGGGCCGGUGGAACUCCCGGUGUAGUGGUGAAAUGCGUAGAGAUCGGGAAGAACACCAGUGGCGAAGGCGGCCGGCUGGGGGUUCCCUGACGCUGAGGCGCGAGAGCGUGGGGAGCAAACCGA